rnacentral:tRNA from 1 species
GGGGUUGUGGCUCAGCGGUAGAGCGUUUGCCUCAAACGUGCAAGACCCUGAGUUUGAACCUCAGCACCA